rfam:Medicago truncatula strain A17 chromosome 4, whole genome shotgun sequence.
GUCCCUUCGGGGACAUCCAAUGAAAUUGAGACGAUGGAGAGAAGAUUAACAUGACUCUUACGCUAAGAUGACACCCACAUAAUUUAAAAAAUCCCCUAAAAAUU